rnacentral:autocatalytically_spliced_intron from 1 species
AUAAACUUGUUAUGACCCCGUAGAGACUGAGUUUAUUUGUAAGCGAUUAUUAAUAAACCGAGCGUUUCAUAUACGAAAUGCUAACACGCCAUCUCCUCAUUCCAAAUUGAUUAUUGGAAAAGGAUGAAGAUAUAGUCCAUACCAUUAGUAAUAAUGGA